ACCCUACGGGACGCAGCAGUAGGGAAUCUUCCACAAUGGACGAAAGUCUGAUGGAGCAACGCCGCGUGAGUGAAGAAGGGUUUCGGCUCGUAAAGCUCUGUUGGUAGUGAAGAAAGAUAGAGGGAGUAACUGGCCUUUAUUUUACGGUAAUUACUUAGAAAGUCACGGCUAACUACGUGCCAGCAGCCGCGGUAAUACGUAGGUGGCAAGCGUUUUCCGGAUUUUUUGGGCGUAAAGCGAG
rnacentral:rRNA from 1 species